AGACCGAGAACGAAAAGUAGCAGCGGCCCGACGCUCCUCCAAGAUCGAAAUUUGUGGCCCGGCGGAGAGCGACAAAGAAGUUAAAAAAAAAAAGGGAAGAAAAGCGAACGCUCGCAGCGGCGGUGGCGAGGGCGGAGGAGCGGAGGAGAUUAUCCCUUCCCCCAAUCUCCAUGGCUUAAACGCUCCACGAGAAUCCUCAUUCCCUAGAGAGAGAGAGAGAGAGAGAGAGAGGAGAGGGGAAGGGGGCCGAGGGUGGAGAGCGAGAGAGAGAGGGGGGGAGGGAUAGGAUGAAGGAGGUGGUGGUCCACAUCUACGACGUGACGAACAGUGGCUCGGAGAAGACCAAUAACACCAUCGUCCAGAUCAAUCGAAUCUUUAAGGACGGCAUUGGCCUCGGUGGCAUCUUCCACAGCGCCGUCCAGGUUUAUGGAGAUGAAGAAUGGUCAUUUGGGUUUUGUGAAUACGGCAGUGGAGUUUUUAGCUGUCCACCUCGUAGAAAUCCUAUGUAUACCUACCGUGAAUCCAUUGUCCUUGGAAUGACAAACUGUUCUAUUUUCAUGGUAAAUCAGAUCUUGAGGGAGCUCAGCAGUGCAUGGCCUGGAAGCUCAUACGACCUGCUAUCAAGAAACUGCAACCACUUUUGUGAUGCUUUCUGUGAAUUGCUUGCUGCACCAAAACUUCCAGGUUGGGUCAAUCGGUUUGCCAAUGCUGGUGAUGCUGCAAUGGAAGUUGCAGGAAAUACAGCAAUAAAGCUGAGACAAGUGAAAACAGAAGUUGCGAAUGCUAGCAAAUUGGCUUACAGAUUCAUUGCUGGUGUUGCCUCAAAUACACCAGCCACACCUGAGACCCCAAGCAAUUCAAGCAAUGCAAAUCCCCAUUCCGAGAGCACAUGGUUCGCUAAUCUCAUGAACAACAUUGGUGCCAAACCAUCAAGUAGUACUUUGGAGUACCCUGAGGACUCCUCAUCCUCGGAAUAUGAAGAGUCUGAAGAGUCAGAAGAUGAGCAUCCACACCAGCGGGAUGAUGAACAAACGCAGCACAGCCUGAAGCAUGACAUAUUCAUCAUUUCUGAUGAGCAUGUAGCAGUUGCAGCAAGGCCCUCAGAAGCAUGGAGGUGAUGGAGUGUACAGCUGUGGCGGCUAUUUCUGGACUUUAUCUGCCCCUGCUUUGGUAUAGGCCUUUUACGAAAGCAGUGGCACGAACAGCAGUGACCUUGUUGCUCAUGGUUCUAAAUGGAGGUAAGCUGCGUCGAGUCUUGCUGUCUUUGGUAGUUUCUUCUACUUGGCUUUGCUGUUGUCUUUGUUAUUGGUCGUUAUAUAGAGGUCUUAGAAGCAGGGAUACAAGUUGUAGAAACAGGGGCUGGUUUGUAUGAGAAAGGGGUGCUCUGGUAGUGGUUUUCUGGUGGGGAGGAUGCCAGCAAAUUUGGUCAGGUUGUCAUGGAUAGGUUCCAUUUUGCUCUGAUGAGGAUGAACAAAAUAGUGAGCCACCCUGAUGAUUCCGCAUCCCUUAUAAACAAUCACAGGGCAUGAAUGGGUUUAAAAUUCAGCGGUGUCUGGUAGGUAUAAUAGGUGUAAUCAGUGAGAAUUUUCAUAGAUUCUGCUCACAAUUGGGGGUUGGAUCUUGAUUAGGAAGGAUUUUUCUUAUAAUUUUUUUAAUUAGCAAAGUGGUUUCUAUCUUAGUAGGUUCGCUUGGGGAAAAAGGUUUCAUCAAUUGUCAAUUGCUUUUCAUGAAUAACAACCUUUGUCAUUCUGAGAAGCUAGAAGUAGAUCUCUAACUUUAUUUGCCAGUGGGUGGAUUCAAGUUUCAUGUCUCGUGCAGAAAAGCAUUCCACUUAACAUUUAAGUCAUUGUUGGGGGAGGGUGGUGCCUUGUUGGACGUAGAUCUAUUUUGACAUCAUGAUUUGAAGAGGAGGCUUGUGGUGUAAUGUGUGGAUGCAGCAGAUGCUGAUGGUGUUAGCUUUAUUACAGGGAUGAUAACUGUGGCUUUUGGGGUGGUCUUGUUCAUUUUGGCUCACCUACACAUCUACACUUGUUGGUUUGUUGAACUGCUAUGUUUCAUGUUGGUUUUGCGCUUGCACUACAUGUGAAUGGACGAGACUCAUCUCUUUGCAGAGGAGAUUACAGGUGGCCAACUUGGUUAUUUUUGGCAUGUUAGGAGGGGCUGCUUCAUCUGAACUUCUGGCAGGAGCUAGGAGUGAAGACUGAAAUUAACUCUUCAAUGAGAAACCAACCAGGAUGUGUGGGAUGCAUGGCAAAACAGGUAUAUAUUUGACACACAUGUCGCUUGUCUCUAGCACAUGCAACUGGCUACAUAGCAUUGGACAAUCAAAUGGUCCAACAAGCAUCAGACCUGGAGGAUCCUAAUUGUUU